rnacentral:rRNA from 1 species
CAAACUGAAGAUGGGGACCGGCGCACGGGUGAGUAACACGUAUCCAACCUGCCGAUAACUCCGGAAUAGCCUUUCGAAAGAAAGAUUAAUACCGGAUAGUAUACGAAUAUCGCAUGAUAUUUUUAUUAAAGAAUUUCGGUUAUCGAUGGGGAUGCGUUCCAUUAGUUUGUUGGCGGGGUAACGGCCCACCAAGACUACGAUGGAUAGGGGUUCUGAGAGGAAGGUCCCCCACAUUGGAACUGAGACACGGUCCAA